AUUGAACGCUGGCGGAAUGCUUUACACAUGCAAGUCGAACGGUAGAGGGGGCAACCCCUCGAGAGUGGCGAACGGGUGAGUAAUAUAUCGGAACGUGCCCAGUCGUGGGGGACAACGUAGCGAAAGUUACGCUAAUACCGCAUACGAUCUAAGGAUGAAAGCGGGGGAUCGCAAGACCUCGCGCGAUUGGAGCGGCCGAUAUCAGAUUAGGUAGUUGGUGGGGUAAAGGCUCACCAAGCCAACGAUCUGUAGCUGGUCUGAGAGGACGACCAGCCACACUGGAACUGAGACACGGUCCAGACUCCUACGGGAGGCAGCAGUGGGGAAUUUUGGACAAUGGACGCAAGUCUGAUCCAGCCAUUCCGCGUGCAGGAUGAAGGCCCUCGGGUUGUAAACUGCUUUUGUACGGAACGAAAAGGUCUCUCUUAAUACGGGGGACUCGUGACGGUACCGUAAGAAUAAGCACCGGCUAACUACGUGCCAGCCGCCGCCGUAAGAC
rnacentral:rRNA from 1 species